GAAGAAAAACGCUCAUUUAGGAAAUAAGACUUUAUGUACAGUUGGGGAAGUGUGUAAACAGUAUGGUUGAGGAUAAUCUCUAUUGUGAACGGUAGAUUAUUUUACUUUUGAAGGGAAAGCACACCAUUUUUUUAAGGGAGAGGAGAGGUGGAUAGCAGUGUUAGGUGAUAUAAAUAGAAAAAUGUUGCAAAGAGAAAAGUGUUUAGUCAAUGCUUAACAGCCUUUUCACUGCAUAGCACACUUCAGCAUUUAAAUAUUGGCCAUAACCCACUUGGAAGAGGGUAUUUGUAUGCUCCAGCUGGACUCAGAGAACUGCGGCAAACAAUUUAGCAAGAGUGGUGGCUGGACAGUCAGGAAGGCUCAGGAUAUUUACCUCAAACCCAGGAGGAAGUACAGCUAGGCAGGAACAAAGAUUAAAGCGAAAGAGACUGGGACACCUGAGCAGGCCCUAUAAUAGGGGAGGAGUUUCAAAUGCUGACUAGUCAGUGGGAGAACUUAAAAACACUCAGCUGUCAAGACACUCUGAGGAGUGCUCUACUACUAGUGACUGGAUUGAACUCUGUGUGUGUGUGUGUGUGAUUAGGAGACAAGUAAUUAAUGCUCAAGCAUUCGUGAGGAAGUUGCUGAGCGUAUUUUGAUGUCUAAUAGCAACAAGUCAAACUUGCUGACUGCGGUUAAUGAUUACUCAGAAAGGCCGGGAAGUAACUCCACAGAGAAAAAAGGAAAUGGUGGCCCUGCAUCCAAGGUUGCGAUAUUCUGAGUGAAAGAUAUCCGAAGUUCGGAAUAGGUUCUUUGAGCUACCGGUUAGGAAUCUGACUCUUAUCCAACCCCCAUGCGCGAGGUACCCAUUCCAGAAAAGGGGCAAACUCAGUUCUUUUUUCCUGCAGGUGACACACCUCCGGUCACAUUUUCCAUUAUCUUCCAUCUCCUGUCCCGGGUCUCCUGCAUUGCAGGCGGAUUCUUUCCUAACCAAGCUAUCAGGGAAGACUCCUGUCAUCACAACAAUCCCAAAUGAAUGCUGAAAGAUCUACUUCUUUUUAUGAUUUCCUGGCAGAACUUAUAGAAAUAUUAUUAAAACCAGAAUCAGAGGCACAGUUGCAUUUAUAUUUGAC
ensembl:lncRNA